rnacentral:rRNA from 1 species
AGUGAACGCUGGCGGUAGGCCUAACGCAUGCAAGUCGAACGGCAGCACAGUAAGAGCUUGCUCUUACGGGUGGCGAGUGGCGGACGGGUGAGGAAUACAUCGGAAUCUACUUUUUCGUGGGGGAUAACGUAGGGAAACUUACGCUAAUACCGCAUACGACCUACGGGUGAAAGCAGGGGAUCUUCGGACCUUGCGCGAUUGAAUGAGCCGAUGUCGGAUUAGCUAGUUGGCGGGGUAAAGGCCCACCAAGGCGACGAUCCGCAGCUGGUCUGAGAGGAUGAUCAGCCACACUGGAACUGAGACACGGUCCAGACUCCUACGGGAGGCAGCAGUGGGGAAUAUUGGACAAUGGGCGCAAGCCUGAUCCAGCCAUACCGCGUGGGUGAAGAAGGCCUUCGGGUUGUAAAGCCCUUUUGUUGGGAAAGAAAAGCAGCAGGUUAAUACCCCGCUGUUCUGACGGUACCCAAAGAAUAAGCACCGGCUAACUUCGUG